rnacentral:rRNA from 1 species
GACGAACGCUGGCGGCGUGCUUAACACAUGCAAGUCGAACGGAAAGGCCCUGCUUGCAGGGUACUCGAGUGGCGAACGGGUGAGUAACACGUGGGUGAUCUGCCCUGCACUUCGGGAUAAGCCUGGGAAACUGGGUCUAAUACCGGAUAGGAGCCAUUUUUAGUGUGAUGGUUGGAAAGUUUUUUCGGUGUAGGAUGAGCUCGCGGCCUAUCAGCUUGUUGGUGGGGUAAUGGCCUACCAAGGCGGCGACGGGUAGCCGGCCUGAGAGGGUGGACGGCCACAUUGGGACUGAGAUACGGCCCAGACUCCUACGGGAGGCAGCAGUGGGGAAUAUUGCACAAUGGGCGCAAGCCUGAUGCAGCGACGCCGCGUGGGGGAUGACGGCCUUGGGGUUGUAAACUCCUUUCGCUAGGGACGAAGCUUUUUGGGACGGUACCUAGAUAAGAAGCACCGGCUAACUACGU